AACUCAGUUGUGGCAUGCAACAUAUUGAGUACAGUUACAAGCAAAGCCCCAUGUGAAGAUUUCAUGAAAGCAAGAACUACAAACGGGACUCUCAUCUGGGAGAAAUAUGGUAGACCUAUACAUAUGUACAGGGAGAAGUCUAACGGCCAAUUAGACAUCAGAGACCAUAUCCAGAAAAAUACAUCCUUCAAUCAAAUUUCGAACUGAGCUUUCGCUCACUGUCCACCACUGCUGAUCACCGUCGUCGCAGACCCGCCGUUGACUUCUACCCCUCCGAUCUGGCAGGGUGUCCACUGCACUUCUGAUGCAGCAAGGCAGUGCCCAUUGCCGCUCCCAGUCAGGCUAGAGGCUCACCAUUGUUCCUGCACAGGCUAAGUGCCUGGGGUUCAUCCUAAUCGAGCUGAACAGAGCUGUAACACUCAUGCAUGACCCAAGAUUCCAUUCCUUGGAAUCCGUGAGGCCAAGAACCCGAGGUCAGAGAACAAGAGGCUUGCCACCAUCUUGGAAGCAGCCUACCACCAUCUUGGGAGCUCUAAGAACAAGGAUCCCCCGGUAACAUUUUGGUGACCAUGAAGGGACCUCCAAAGCGUUUGUCUCUUCCAGAAUCAAAGCUGUAAAACUACAAAUCGUUCUUCAAAUGGACCCCCAGAUGCAGUCCGUGACUAAGAUCUACUGCGGACCCCUGGAACAGCCUGCUAGCCCAUGCUCCGAUGUUAACAACAUCGAAGGCAUUCCUCCUGAGGAAAUCUCAACUGCACGACCCCUACUAUGCCCCAAUACAGCAGAAAGCACUUAAGAGCAGUCGUCGGCCAACCUCCCCAAUAGCACUUGGGUUUUACUGUUGAGUGGGGGAACUGAGAGACAGGACUAGCUGGAUUUCCUCCAAUCAGGUAGUAAAGAGGGCUCACUAAAAUACAAAUUAGGCUACAGCACAAGGUAAAGAAAUAGUCAAAUCAUAUAUCGCCUGAGAGCACAGAGGGAGGGACAAUGAUCAGGAUAUAAACUCACGCAUUCGAGCAGGGAGCGGCAACCCCCUUUGGGUCCCCUCCCAUUGUAUGGGGGCUCUGUUUUCACUCUAUUAAUCUUGCAAAUGAAAAAAAAAAAAGGCAGAGGGAGAAUUCAUUCUCUCUUGAGCUAGGACAUGCAUAUUCUCCUGCCCUUGGAUAUUGGAGAUCCUGAUCCUCAGGCCUUCAAAUUCCAGGACUUAUACCAGUGGCCUCCCACACCCCAGUUCUCAGUCCUUUGGCCUCAGACUGAGAGUUACACUAUCACUUCCCCUUGUUCUCAGGCCUUCAGACUCAGGCUGAGUUACACCACCAGCUUCCCUGGUUCUCCAUCUUACAGAGAGCAUAUCAUGGGACUUCUCAGCUCCCAUAAUUACAUUAGCCAAUUCCCAUUGUAAAUCCCCUCUUGUCUAUCUAUAUAUAUUCUAUUGGUUCUAUUUCUCCAGAAAACUCUAACUUAUCAAACAGUAAUUGCACUUCUAAAACUCCAUCGUACAGAAAUGCUUACCCAUGUGGACAAAGAUAUAUACAUAAGGAUGUUCACUGAAUCACUAGUUACAACAGCAAAACUUUAGGAAACAAACAAAAUGUCUAUCAACAGGAGAAUGGUUACAUAAAUUACAUUACAUCUCUACCAUGAAAUACUACGCAAGUGUUUUCACUCAAGAGAGCAGAAGAGUGACUUGGUCUGUUACAUUUUAAAAUGAUCCCUCUAAUAUAUUGAGGGUGGCCUGUCAUAGAAUGGAGAAGGAGCAAUGGCAGAUAGAGAAGAUCUGUUAAGAUGCUAUUAUAGCAACGCAGACAAGAGAUGUGGCUCUGAUAAGGAUAUUAAUGGUAAUGAGAAGUCAUCUGACUGUAUGUGUGUGUGUAUACAUACACACAAAUAUAGACAUACACAUAACACAAAUUUGGUGACUGACUAGAUGAGAAAUAUGAGAAAAAGAAAGGAAUUAAUGAUGGCCCAGAGUUUCUGGCCUGAGCUGGAACAAUGGAAUAUUUCUAUCUAACAGAUGAAAAAAUUAAACCACUCAGAGGUUAAAAAACCUGUUUAAAGUCACACCAAUAAAAUGGUAGAGUCACUAGAAUCCAGGUCCAUCUGACCGUAACUCUUAAUCGCUAUGCUACAAUGAUUUAUUUGUCUAAGGAACUUCAGCAUCUGUUACUGUGCCCAGUAUUAGUGCAUAUUUUCUUAUUUAACAUGAAGUAAUAAAAAAUACUAUGAGCUAGAUCAUUUAUUAGCCAAAUAAAAGUAUUUUUUAGCUAUAUGCUUAAUAAUUAAAAGAUUUUUAAGUGACUUUUAGUCAGCAAAUGACUUAUUAUUGAAUGGCAUUAAUUGUCAGUGAAGAUCAUUACUGCCCUCCAGGAUGACAAGCUUCAUAAAAUCUCAACACCCACUACACCCAACCUCCAAUACAGGAGAGAAGACAAGCAAAUUUGUUACCUGUGCUAAUAUGUUAAACAGAAAACUAAAAUGAGAUACACAAGAAAUACAAAAAUAUGUAUGCAUAUUAAACUUCUAUGUAAUCUACACCACACUUGAACGCUCUUCUCCAACUUGAGUCAGAAGACCAUGUAUGGUACUCAGAAUGGAUUCCAAAUCUAAACUGAAGAGACAGUGAAGCAAAACUCUUCUAACCAUUUCAGAUAUUUCCAUUUUAUUUUGUAGGCCUACAUACCUUCUUAUUUUGGUGCACUAAUUAUCUUUUAGGAAUCUCUGACAGUGUAUCAAUAUUAGAUAAACCUCAGGGAAGUAAGAAAAUUAUAUAAUAAAAGACAGCAGGUGUGGUGCAUCACACCUGUAAUCCCAGCACUUUGGGAAGCCAAGGCAGGAGGAUCACUUGAGCCAAGGGUUUGAGACCAGCCUCGGCAACAAAGUGAGACAGUUAGCCAGGCAUUGGUGGUGUGUACCUGUAGUCCCAGCUACUUGGGAGGCUGAGGCAGGAGAACCGCUUGAAUCUGGGAGGUGGAGGUGGCGGUGAGCUGAGAUCGCACCACUGCACUCCCACCUGGGCGACACAGCAAGACUCUGUCUCAGAAAAAAAGGAAAUACAGUUGGGCCUCUGUAUCCAUGGGUUUUGCACCUGCAGAUUCAACCAACUGGGAUGGAAGAUAAUAGCAUUUGUGGGAUGUGGAACCCACAGAUACAGACGGCUGACUUUUUGUAUGUGUGUAUAGGACAUUUUCCUAUCUUCAGGGCAGACUGCAGAACUUGAGGAGCAUCCAUGAAUUUUGGUGUCGGCGGACAUUUUGGAACCAAUUCUCUGUGGAUACGGCGGGACAACUGUAGAGAUGAAUUUAACAGCCAGUUCAAAUGCCUUUAGUCAAAAGCAUGCCCAAGUUUACUCAGCAGAUGAAAAAAAUCUGUAACAUAAACUACGCUAUUCCAAUAUGAAGAAGAGAUGUAACAGUAUAUUGGAAAUGAGCUUUCUGCCUAGAAAAGGAUAUUCGAACUCAUGUCUUUGUUACUACAAAUAGUUUGGGAACUCAAGCUUUAUAGUUAACUUCAAACAGAUUCUGAAAACAUAUCUUAAGUGUUUGAAAUUAGAGGAAUAACAUCUAUUUUUCCAGUAUCGUCAAACACUCAACUAUAAUAGACACUAGACACUUGAACAUGUGAUUUUAAAAACAAUCAUGACAAAUUUCCUGCAUUAUGAUCUAGGAAGUUUAGCCUUACCAUCUCUUACCUGUUAAGACAAAAAAAAGAAAAAAACAAAACAACAACAGAAAAAAACCUACCACUACCAAAAACAACGUAAAGAUUAUUUCCUUUCCCGUCCAGCAGGUAACAAAUUAGUAGUUCUGAUGGGCUAUGGACCCAGAAGUCUACAUUUUAAGGACCUAUACCUGGUGAUGAUAAGUAUGCAGGGAAGAGGGUCUGAAUUUCCAUGAUCAAUGAAAUGAAAUUGGUUCUGAGUGUUACAAUGCAGAGUAUUAUAGUCAACCUCAGUUUUACUGAAUGCUAUAAAUUCAAUUAAAUGUUAGAAGCACGGUAUGAGAGAAAAAAAAAAAGGGGGCUUUAGAGUCAGAGAAAUGGGUUCAAAUCAAAUACCCUAGUUUAUUAUGUAACCUUUCACAAGUCAGCUUCUCUGAGCCUUGGUCUUUUCACCAAUAAAAUGAGGAUAAUACUGCCUCUAACAUCACUUUUAUAAAUAUUAGAUAAAGAAGAUAAAUUGAGCAUGUGGCACAAUGACUAUUACAAAGCAAUGCUCAGUCACCAUCUGUUUUCUUCCUACCCCCUCUCUACUAAAUGUCAGAAUCUCGCCUUUAGUCAAUGCCCUUCACUCAGUAGUGUGCUGGUUAACAUUGAAUAACUAGCUGUCCAGAGGGAAGAAAGCCCAGUUUAUAGCACUGGUUUGUAGCACUGGCUUAUUUCUGUGGUGUAAAUACUCCUACCAUGGCUGAUCCCAAGCAUGAAGUCACUGAAUGCAGAGGUGUAAAGAGAUGUGCAGUAGCACACCAUUUUUCUCUAUCCCAUCUGUUUUAUUAUCUCUACUUUGUUUUAUUUUCUUCAUAACACUUUUACCUUUUUAAAUUAUCUUGUUUAAUUGUUUAGAUAUUUGUCAUGUUUCCCCUGACAAGAAAAAGCAUCAGGAAGGCAGGCAUCUUGUCUCAUGCUAAGUAGUUGUGAAGAUUCCCAAAAGUAUUAAAAAGUGUUUAAAAAGAAAAAGACUAAUUCAAUCAAAACACAUCCUCAAUUUCAGUACAAUUGCUCUUUCUGUUUGGUAAAGGAAGAAAGAAUAAACAUGACCAGUAACUACCAAAUGCUUAAAUUCAAGCAGCAGACUACUUCUCCCAUAUCACCUAACUCAGUCAAUAAAAAGAGGCCAGACAGAGGCACUUCCAUAUAAGAUGUCCAACUAGAAUAUCAUACUAAUUGAAUCCAAGGCAGGCAAUCUUACUAUCCUUAAUAAAUAAAUUCAGGCAGUUAUUUUAUGACUAUAGAAAGGGAAACAAAUACUACUGUUAAUAAGUUACGUAUUAUACUUUUUUUAUGUUUUAUUAAUCCAGCUUGUAGGCAAAGCCUCCGUACCUUGAAUUUACUUUACCUGCAUUAAUUAACAUCUGCAAACAUUCUACAGAGUUGUGAUAAGCUGCUUCAUGAAUUGGCAUCCAUCCCCUGUUAUCAGCAACAUCGACACUUCGGCCCCUUUUGAGCAGUUUCCUUAAGACUUUAACAUUGCCUUCCCUGGCAGCAAGUCCAACUGUAGAGCAUGUGUCCGCGUAAGCCUCUGUAAAAUCCAUUUGUUUGACCAGUCUACAAAACAAGGUAGAAGGAUAAUACUAUAGUCAAUAAAACAACACUUCACUCCUAGAGGUCAGCAAAUCAUGGUGGGCCUGUCUAAUAUCUCUCACAUGACUGACAAAGAAGGGCCCACAAUACAGAAAGUGACUGCCAUGCCACAGUCUCUGCUGGUGCCUAAAGCAGGAAGUUUCUCUGUUUGGCAUAUUGGAAUUCCUUAAAAUGUUCCCACUAAAAACAUGAAGGGACUUUUAAGUGUUCUAUCUUUUCUCCUCUGGAAAUGUUUGAGGAGUAGGCUUCUGCUCCUGUUCAUACCCCACCACAACGCACUCUUUGGUGCUCCAUUGAUAAGAGCACCUCUGCUUAAUCCCCAGUGUACACUACAUUAUGCAGAGAUGGCCAUUCAAUUACCAGCAAUGCUCAGCCUCAAUAUAUAGCCCUCUAUAGGAAACAACUAAACCCAAAGAGGCCAGAAAAGCAGUGAAAGAUAGGUGUUAUUCUAGUCUUCUUGCACCUGCUUGUCCUUUCCAGAAGAGGUUAAACACUCAGGUUUUCUAUGCUUGACCAAAUAGACCCACUGACUGAGCAUACUGAAACCAACAGAGAACACCACAAAGAAAUGAGCCCGGUUUUCCUACAUAGCCCAGAAAGUUCUUAACAGAGUUCUUGCCCACAUCAUCUCCCUCCAAUGCUCACUUCAAGUUCUCCUCCAGUCAGAGUCCAGUAUAGCUCUCAUGUGACUCUUUCAAAGACACAAUUUCUUGUUAGUGACUCUAUGAAGCAGUUUGGAUAUGGAAUACGUAUUUGAUUACAUAACUAUUGUUAAUUUUCUUAGAUGUGAUAAUGGCAUCACAGUUAUUAGGAGAAUGUCCUUAUUCUUUUUUUUUAGGGAACUUGCUCUAGGAUGAAUGUCCUUAUUCUUAUAAGACACAUGUAGAGUAUGUGGCAGUAAAAUGUCAUAACACAUGCAACUUCAAAUGUUUUCCAUUUAAAAGUAUAAAUAAAGUAAAAA